GACGGAGGGUGCUAGCGUUGUUCGGAAUGACUGGGCGUAAAGGGCGCGUAGGCGGCUCGUGAAGUCGGGUGUGAAAUCCCUGGGCUCAACCCAGGAACUGCACCUGAAACUACCAGUCUUGAGUGGUGGAGAGGGAAGUGGAAUUCCUGGUGUAGAGGUGAAAUUCGUAGAUAUCAGGAGGAACACCAGUGGCGAAGGCGGCUUCCUGGACACCAACUGACGCUGAGACGCGAAAGCGUGGGGAGCAAACAGG
rnacentral:rRNA from 1 species